rnacentral:lncRNA from 1 species
UCAUGGCAGCAGAUGGAGCUUUCUCACAGCAAAAGAUUGGCUCAAAGAUUAUUUUGGCAUGUUGCCUGAUACUCCACCUUUCUGAAAGAAAUUUUAUAGAUAAGCCUACUGAAAACCAUCGUGGAAACUCCUCAAGAGGAGUGAAGUUAAUGUACUUUUUCUAUCUUAGCUUUAGUGAGGGGUAGUCCCAAUUUGUUCUUUAGACAUGGCAUUUUUUGUAUUGCUGUCAUUUUAAUAUAGCUGAAUUUCCUCCUUACCAAAAAAAUAUAGCUGAAGUUCUUAGUUCCCUUUUUGUUACCUAUUAUGUGUUUGUCUCCACUUGUCUUUUAUUAGCUGUCCCUUUCCCAUUUUGGUUGCAUGGCCGAUUUACGAGAGGAUGAACUGUUGCAAUAUGGAUUAGCUUCGAAAUCCUCAUGAUUUCUGUAUUCAAUCACUAUUAUUGAGUUUGUCUUGGUGCUUUAAGGAGGAUGAUUAUCAGUACUUGCAGGUUCAUUGAGCGAGGAUUCCAUAACAUUUAUUGGUAAUGGUGUUGUUUUAGACGAUGACCUUCUGCUGGAAGCUAAGAUUGUUUCUGCUCAUGGGUAGACAAUGAAAGUGUCAGCCUUUGCCAGCUCAGAGUCCCUCUCUUGUUUGCCUUUCAUGAGUUCACAUUACAUAUACUGUCAGCGAUGAUUUGUUCUAAUUUAAGAUGGGAGGGGUUACAAUAAAGCUGAUUUAACGAUGCCUGUGGAUUUGUUAGGAGGUUUGGAGUUUUGUUCUAAUGGCAUGAGGCUUUUAGGAAUUGUUAGAACAAAUCAAUUUGGAUACAGACCGUUAGGACAUUCCGGCAGGACUCGCAUCUCAGCCAAAACUGAUACUUGUACAAACUGCAUACUUGUUGCUUGCCCUUCUGUAGAGUUUACAACUCUGUUUCAAAUUUCAAUACAAGGAAAAGAACAAAAGGAAAAAACAACAGAUUUGAAUGAAAUUUUGCGUAAAAUCUUUCAGGGGCAUGUUCCCUGGGAGGAAAACCAAGCGAGAACGAAUCUGAAAAACUGCAAAUACCAAGGGCCCGGCCUGUAGUAGCCAUAGACUCUGUGUCAAAGAAAGCACAAGGAAAACGAAAGCAGCAAUGACAGAAAUGAUUACUGUGUCAAAGCGAAGUAAUUGUGCUUGAAACUGGCUCUCCAGGCAUUCGCUCCAUGCCAGUGCUCGAUAGUGGAGGUACCCGACGUUCUCGGGGCAUUCGCUCCAUGCCAGUGCUCGAUAGUGGAGGUACCCGACGUCCUCGGGGUAUCUGAUUAAGUUGUCCAUAAAGAUUACGUACCAGGUAAUGUUGUUGCUGCAAUCAAAGUGGGACUGCUCGAAGGCUAUCAAGUUGAGGAAGAGCGAACUCAUCCCAUCGUCGAUCAGAAGCUGUGGGAUCUCAAGGAUCCCGUCCUUGAACUGGAUGUCCCAGAACUUGUCCAUCUUCCUCUUUCUAAACUUGAUCCCAGCUUCUCGGAGCUCCCUCACACAGCGGAUGCGUUGCUGCUGCCUCUUCUCAGCAACUCGGUCGGAGUGCGACCGUUGCUUGAUCCAUGCCCUUGGCUCUAGCUUCGGGCCUAAGAGGAGAAGGCUCUGUUGGAGCACUUCGAGGCAAUGGAGCUCGCCCUGGUCGGAUAACGGGUCGAAGGCGGUGGUGUGGCUGAGAGACUCCAGCCUGUUGCGGCUAAGCUCGGUCAAAGGCUCGUCUGUUGGCAUCAGAGGGUCAAAGAACCGGAGCGCCAGCUUGGCCACUAGCCCAUCCUGGUUGGGAUCGCCGAGCUGGAGGCUGAGCAGCUGGUCGAGUAUGAAAAGCGGGAUCUGAAUCUUGAGCAUGAUCAUGUCCUGUUGGAUCAUGUGCAUCGAUCCCCGCAUCGAAAAGAUGGGGUCAUCGCGAGGGUAGCCGAGUUCCUCGAACCCCUCAGCGACUCCCCGGAAGAGCUUGGUCACAAAGCACCCAUCAAGAACCAUCAUCUCCACGAACUUGUUGCUGCUCAUGGAUAUCGUCCCCUUGAGCACGCACGAGCUUUCUCCUCAAUUUCCCUCACAGCAUCUAGAUAGAGGCCUAUCUCACGACUGGUGUGCCUGAGGAUGCGGUGGAGGCAGAGCCACUCGUGCCAGUCCAUCUGGCGGAGGUGCUUCUUACCGUGGUGGUAUAGCUCAAGGGAGACAAUCUGGGGGAUGUAGGUCUUGUCCUCACCAUCCUUGAGAAAUUGCGGGAUUCGAUAAAUGGAGAGCCUUGUCCAUGAGCAGGCCUCAUCUUCUUGGCAAGCUUGCUCAAGCUUCUCUCUGAUAGAGAUGACCCAUUCGGACUCAGCCGGCCUUGGCUCAUCUUCUGACAUGUUUUCACCCCCUUUGUUCUCGACCAUGACCUGGAGAACCUCGGAUAGUCCUUGCUAUAGCUUAAGAACCUUGUGUUCCUGAGGCUGUUGCUGCUACUGGUGGCGAUCUAUUAUUUCCGUGGAUGCACUGGAGGUUGAUUCUUGGACAGUCCGGAUUCCAUAGUUUCUCUGAGCUUGAGGGUGAUCAAGUACCAGCUCAAGAGCUCUUUGUUGAAAACAGCAACCAUUUCUUCUGCCUAACGUUUCUCUGCCUUUGCCUAUUCAUCCAAAAAUAUUUUUAAUUAAAAUUAAAUUAAAUUAAAAAUAAAAACGGUAAAUGUUUUUUUUAAUAAAAUUGAAAAAAUAGGCCAGAGGCUCCCUCUAGCCUAUGAUCAUCACCCUCUCACCGGUGAGGCGACGGCAAUGGCUGGCGCUUGGGCAAGGGUCAGCGACCCUUGCCAAAAAUAGGAGAGGGCAACAACCCUCUCCCAAAUUUGAGUGAGGGUCGCUUGCCCUUCCCCCAAUCUAGGGGCCCUCGAUAAGGGGGGCACUAGAUCACGUGAGGGUUGGUGACCCUCGCCUAAGCCAAGGAGCCCAAAUUAGAGAGAAGGUUGCUGCCCUCUCUUGUUCCUGGCAAGGGCCUAUUGGCCCUCACCUCUGGUCGGCAAGGAUUGUUGGCCCUUGUCUAGUCCUUGACGACCCUACCAGCCAUUAUUGUCACCCCAUUGACCCUUGCCCCGAUCUGGGGGAGGGUUGAUGGCCCUUGGACUUAUGGAUGAGGGUGGGGCGAGGGUCGGCGAGCGUUGCCCAGAUUUAGGAGAGGUUCAUGGCCCUCUCCCAUUUCUGGUGAGGGCCUAUUGGCCCUUGCCUCUGGUCGGUGAGGGUCAUUGGCUCUUACCCAAGCACCAGUGACCUCGCUCCCCCAUCAGCGAUAGGUGGCGGUCAUAGGCAAAAGGGAGCCCUUCCUCCUUUGUGUUUCUUUAUUUUAUUUUAUUUUAUUUUAUUAGUUUUAGUUUUAGUUUUUUUAGUUUGUUUUUAUGGAAAGAAGAAGAAAGAAAAAAAGGAACAAAUUAAAAAAAUUUAGAAGACGAAAUUGCACUUCACCAAUUAAUGAGUUUAGGUACUUCUUUGAGAUUAAUAUAGUCACUUUAGACUCUUAUUUGAAAUAAAAUUCACUUUAGGCCCUUAUUUGAGAGAAUAAUGAUAUUUCAAGUUCUUUUUUAGAAAUAAUAUUUACUUUAGGCUCUUAUUUGAGUUAAUGAAGACAUUUCAUGCUCUUAUUUAAAAUUUUCCUUUUUUCAUGUUUAGGCUUGUAAUUAUUACUCAUCUAGAAAACCAACAUCAACCACGACUUUUGAAGACCUAACUCCUCAAGCUAUGUUUGUAGUUAGGAUAAAAUUCAUGAUAGAAUAAAUUUUAUCAUAACUUGCAUUUGGUUCUUGUCUAAGAUAGGAUAAAGUCAGAUUUAAAAAGGGAUAUAGUUUGAAUAAUAUUAUCUUAUAGGGGAGAUGGGAUAAUGUAGAUAAUAUUUCUAAUAUUCGAAAUAUAAAAGUUAUUUUGAUCAAAUAACAAACUUCUUAAAUUAAUAAAAUUAAAAUAAUAUUUGAGUAUACAUAAUAUUUGAAUUCUAAUAUAAAAAUUCAAAAUAACUAUAAUUUUUUUUUAUUUGUUCCUAUUUUCAUUUAUGUAUUUGAAUUUCUUUUUAUCUUAUAGUAUAAAUUUAUACAUAUUUCCUAUUUAUAUUUAUUACAUAAUUUACUUAUUUUAGGUAUAUUAGUAUAGUUUAAUAUAUAAUAAAAUUUUAUUAGAGAACUAUGAAAGGGGAAAAGAAUUAAAAAAGAGGGAAAAUAAUUAAAAAUAGAAAAUAAAAAUAAAAAUAAAGUAGGCAGGGGUGUCGUGAAAGAUUUUUAUCAUUUCUAUUUGCGCAAUUUUCAGGUUCAUUUACACUGAUAUAUCAUUCAUAUAAAAAAAUGGACAGGAUGGAUAUGAAAAUUUUCCACUUUAUUAUCGUGAUUUAUCAAAUAACAGUUAAGAUAUAACAAGAUUCUUGAAUUUUAUGUCAUAUCCUAUCUAUAUAGAAAUCUAGAUGAUCAAAUGCAUCCUCAAAGUUUUAUUUUAAUCUUUAAGGAAAAAAGUAACAAAAAAGCCAUAAACUUAUCGCAAUUGUGUCGAUUCAAUCAUAAACCUUCAAUUAUGCUAAUUGAGUGGUGCUAAUUGACUGCUUCUAAUCAAUUCUGGCCAAAAAUUGCAUGAUGUGGAUGCUGACUAUUCUAAGUAGUACUAUCAUUAUUGAUAUCGAUUUUUUUUUAUAAUUUUUUUGAAUUUUUAUUUAAUUUUUCUCUUUUUUUUUUCUUUCUUUCUUGGGCCCUCACCAAUCACGGGGUGAGGGCGCAAAGGCACUCGCCGGAUCUGGGCACAAAACUUAUUCCCAUAUAGGACAAGGCUACUUAUAAAGCCCGACCCGAGUAUUCCGUACACAAAGCUAUUCCUAUAUUGGGCAAGCCUUGGCAAAAAAUUGGGCCCGAUCUCUAUGGGCCCGGCCCGAGCCCAUCAAUUGAUCAUUCCGGUCACGACCGACUCCCGCCGCCCCACCGCCGCCGCCGCGUCGCGGUGGGCGUUCGCCGUCCCGAAGCGGAUUCCAGCACCUCCCGGACAAAUCGGUGCCGUCGUCUCGACGCUGGCGGUGGCGUGCGCGUAGCUCGUCCGGGGCUACUUCGUGAGGGGCAUCUACAUGCUGAACCGGCUCAUCGGCUUCCUCUACCCUCAGGUCGAUCCGGAGCUCCAGGAGCUCGCCGACGGCGGCGGCCCAUCCCUCCCCACCCGCGGCUCCGACAAGUUCAGGCCCUUCGUCCGCCGCCUCCCCGAGUUCAAGUGUUGGUAGGUUUACUGGUUGGGAUCGCUUCGCAUUAUUAUUAUUUUCGAUUGGGAAUUGCGAUCGGGUAUCAAUUGGAUUUGGUGGACUUGAUCUGCGUCAUUUCGGGGGCGAAAGGUGGAAAUGCGUGUUCCAAAUAUUCUGAAUUCGAGGUAUUUUUGGGGUGGAAAGACUCGUUGUAGUUGAUGAUUUGUGAUGCUUUUCAAUUGAAGACUGAUCCUAGUGUUUCUCAGGGGGAGUUCAUUUUGGGGGCAGUUUGGUGUUGGUUAUUACCUUUUGCUCUUGAUUGGAUUUGUUGGAAUUGAUCUACUUCAUUUCGGAGGAGAAAGAUGGAAUUCUGUGUUCUGACUUCAAGUGGGAGGAUUCGAUUGGCGUGAUGAUUUUUGCCUUCAAUUUGGAUUUCUUGGCAGAAAUGGAUAGUUUUAAAUUUAUGAGAGAUUGGUGAAAUUGGUGUUUAUUAAGUGUUUUUUGCUGGGUUGGGGAGAAAAAGAGGCGCUGGAGGUGUCAUGACUGGAUUCAAGAUCUGGCAACUGAAGAAGUUGAAUGAUGUGGAAGCAUCAUGGUUUCGCGCUUUCAUUUUGUUAUCACAGAGCGGUCGCUUGUUCUUGACUUGAGACUGGUUUUAAAAAUGCUUGCCAUGAUGUAAAAAUGCCUUUUUGAUGUGAUCUUACUGUUCCAGCAUUCUUGAUCUGCUUUGUCUACAUUCUUUCUUUCCAAUUACAUGCAGAUGUUUGAGUUUAUUCAUGAGGUGUUAUUGAAAUUGACAAUCUAAAGUUGACUCCAGCAGUGAAUUGAGAAGCUCAGAUUCCCCCUGUGAUGAUAUGUUUGUUUUAUGUCCUUUCAGAUGUAUAGCCUUCCUUUUAACAAUCUUUGAUUGGCAAUAUUCUUGUCAUUUAAUUGAUUUUAAAUCAAACGAUGUUCCGCACUGAAUCGAGAAUGUCAUACAAUAAUUGUUCAACUCAUCAGUCUCUAUAGAGGGUCUUAUUAGUUUAUGCUUUUGAACAUUCGGAUUUUGAUCUGCUGAUUGCAUUGGUUCCAUUGAGAGAGCUUAUGGUUUUAUACAUUCACUUCCUGCUUAGAUUGGAUGGUUGCUUAUUGAACAUAUUCUUCUUGUCUCUCAAUGGAAGGUUACAAAUCACUUGGGCAUUUGUGAUUGCUUUCGUGAUGACGUUCUUCAGAGUGUUCGACAUACCUGUCUUCUGGCCCAUACUCCUUUUCUACUGGGUCAUGUUUACGCUUACAAUGAGGAGGCAGAUAAUGCUUAUGGUCAAAUACAAAUAUGUCCCAUUUGCUAGGUAUCCUAUACCUUAUGUUCUCUCUUUUUCCUGCAUGUAUGCUUCUGCAAUUCUUUGGUAUGUUGCUUAUUUUGCCUUUUGACUCUACUUCUUUUUCAUCAGCACUACGAUGGAAAGAGAGCAUCUUCAACUGAUAGUGCGAGCCUUCCAAGGGAUUAAAUAUUUCGAGUUUGAUCUAUCUAUAGUUCUCAAGUAGGCUUCUCUUGUCCCUGGUGUCAUGGCAGCAGAUGGAGCUUUCGCACAGCGAAAGAUUGGCUCAAAGAUUAUUGUCAUGUUGCCUGAUACUCUACUCUUCUGAAAGAGAUCUUAUAGAUAAGCCUAGAGAAACCAUCAUGGAAACUUCUCAAGAGGAGUGAAUUUAAUGUAAAUUUUCUGUCUUAGCUUUAGUAAGGGGUAGUCCCAAUUUGUUCCUUAGACAUGGCAUUUUUUGU